rnacentral:rRNA from 1 species
UGAGGAAUAUUGCGCAAUGGGCGAAAGCCUGACGCAGCGACGCCGCGUGGAGGAUGAAGGUUUUCGGAUUGUAAACUCCUGUUAAGUGGGAAGAAACGACAAAAAUAUAAUACAUUUUUGUAACUGACGGUACCAUUAAAGAAAGCACCGGCUAACUUCGUGCCAGCAGCCGCGGUAAUACGAGGGGUGCAAGCGUUAUUCGGAAUUAUUGGGCGUAAAGGGUGCGUAGGCGGCGUAUUAAGUCAACUGUUAAAACCUCCAGCCUAACUGGAGAUCAGCAGUAGAUACUGGUACGCUAGAGGAUGGAAGAGAGAAGUGGAAUUCUUGGAGUAGCGGUGGAAUGCGUAGAUCUCAAGAGGAACACCAAUGGCGAAGGCAGCUUCUUGGUCCAUAUCUGACGCUGAUGCACGAAAGCGUGGGGGAGCAAACAGGAUUAGAUACCCUGGUAGUCCACGCCGUAAAACGAUGAUCACUAGAUGUUAAUUCUGCUUGCAGAAUAGUGUCGUANCUAACGCGAUAAGUG